rnacentral:rRNA from 1 species
GAGUUUGAUCGUGGCUCAGAGUGAACGCUGGCGGUAGGCCUAACACAUGCAAGUCGAACGGCAGCACAGAGGAGCUUGCUCCUUGGGUGGCGAGUGGCGGACGGGUGAGGAAUACAUCGGAAUCUACUCUGUCGUGGGGGGAUAACGUAGGGAAACUUACGCUAAUACCGCAUACGACCUACGGGUGAAAGCAGGGGAUCUUCGGACCUUGCGCGAUUGAAUGAGCCGAUGUCGGAUUAGCUAGUUGGCGGGGUAAAGGCCCACCAAGGCGACGAUCCGUAGCUGGUCUGAGAGGAUGAUCAGCCACACUGGAACUGAGACACGGUCCAGACUCCUACGGGAGGCAGCAGUGGGAAUAUUGGACAAUGGGCGCAAGCCUGAUCCAGCCAUACCGCGUGGGUGAAGAAGGCCUCGGUUGUAAG